AGGAUCAUACUUCAUAGGAUCAAUUCAAUAGUAUGAUUAAUGAGUUCACUCACCGAACUUCGCAGAAAACCUAACCGCGAAUAUGUGGAAUCGGGUUUUCUUCUAAGCGUGAAGCAGUUGUUUCUUUCUAUGAUAGAUUGAGCAAUAUUGAAGAUCUGUUUGACAUUCCGCUAAAUGGAUGGAAAAAGCUCGUUCUGAGU